AGUGAACGCUGGCGGUAGGCCUAACACAUGCAAGUCGAACGGCAGCACAGUAAGAGCUUGCUCUUACGGGUGGCGAGUGGCGGACGGGUGAGGAAUACAUCGGAAUCUACUUUUUCGUGGGGGAUAACGUAGGUAAACUUACGCUAAUACCGCAUACGACCUACGGGUGAAAGCAGGGGAUCUUCGGACCUUGCGCGCUUGAAUUCGCCGAUGUCGGGUUAGCUAGUUGGCGGGGUAAAGGCCCACCAAGGCGACGAUCCGUAGCUGGUCUGAGAGGAUGAUCAGCCACACUGGAACUGAGACACGGUCCAGACUCCUACGGGAGGCAGCAGUGGGGAAUAUUGGACAAUGGGCGCAAGCCUGAUCCAGCCAUACCGCGUGGGUGAAGAAGGCCUUCGGGUUGUAAAGCCCUUUUGUUGGGAAAGAACAGCAGCAGGUUAAUACCCCGCUGUUCUGACGGUACCCAAAGAAUAAGCACCGGCUAACUUCGUG
rnacentral:rRNA from 1 species